ACAGAGCGAGACUCCAUCUCAAAAAAAAAACAAAAAAACAAAACAAAACAACAACAACAACAACAAAAAACCCCACGAAUCCUACCAUGUUACUUCCCUUGCUUAAAACCUUAGUAGCUUCUCAUAUUAUGUUGCCACCCUGUUGAUUUUCCUCAUAGCUCUUAACUCACAGGAAUUAACAGUACUUGCUCUGUCCCCACUGGCGUGUAAGCUCUUUGAGGGCAGAGACCUUCUGGUCAGUGCUGUAUCAUCACACCUAGAACAUGGCCCGGCACAAAACAGGUGCUCAACAAGCACUUGUUAAGUAAACAUCUCCUACAAUACUCCUAUGAUCAUGUGGUUUUACAAAACUUAAGAGUUUUAAAAUCCAUUACAACUCUUCAACUCUAAGAUGCAUUUUCCAUCCCCUACAUUUCUACCUUUUUCCAAUCAGGACAUAGCUUACAAAUGAUAUACUUAAUGUAGUAGGGUUUUUCCACUAUUUCUCCUCAAAGGGCAUUUAAUAAAAUGAAAGUAACUUUGCAAUUGAGAAAAUAUGAUAAAAAAAUACCUUUAGGUGCAAUCUUUCAAGAGCCUAGGCACGUAAAACAUCCUGUCUACUUAAUUCUCACAACCUCUGAUGAUAGGAAUUCACAUGGCUAAUAAUGGCAGUCAGAGUUCCAACACAGACCUAUCUAGUGCCAAAGCUACAUGCAAUCUUUUUACUACAUUCCACAGUUGCUCUGUCUUACCUCUGUGUAACAGACGGAAACAAAAUCGUAUAAAACCACAGAAUUCACCUACAGUAUGAGGCAAUCCAAUUAAAGGAAAAGUCAUUCUCAGAACAGCUUUUAUUUAGUUUCAGAUUUGCAAAGGGAGACGUGACAUCAAGUUUGGAAGAAAGCUGAAUUACUGGGACUAACAGAGUGAAAAGAAUAUGGACUUUCAAGGAAUGGGGAAUAGGAAGGCCAGAAAAAUUUCCUUACUCCUUCUUCAAAGAUGAUGAAAUACAAAAUGACCCCAAAUGAAGCGGAUAGAACAAUCAGUGUUACAAGGUGUUAAAGUGUUCUUUCUUUUAAGAAACAAUGGUGACUAUGAUGACAGAAAACAUAAAAAGGUGAAGCUGCCUGUUAGUGCUCUUAUUUUGUGAAAUUUUAUUUUACUAGUUUCUGAAAUACCCAAGUGAAAGAACCUGUAUUAGAAACAAUACAAGGAUUACUAAUUUUGUAAAUAAUUAGAAUGAGAUUUGUAAAAAUAGGGAUGCUGUAUGCUAAAUAUAAUUUUUAUGAUUCAGAAGUUUACCAGGAUCUGAUAAAUGAAAUUAAGAAGCCAUCUCAUCAAAUGCAACCAAGUGAUGCUUUAAUUAAUGUCUAUAUUGAUAUAGAGAAAAUUAAAAACACUUGGCUUUCCUUCCCCCCCAAAAGAACAAAGAUCAAAUUGAAGUACAGAUGAUUUCUCUUCCAUUACAAGAGGCACAGGAGAAAAAGAAGACUCUGUAUCUCUUUUUGUUUUUACUGAUUUUCCGUAUGGGCACUGGCUUUCAGCUAAGAUGAUGCUUAUACAUACCUAACUUUUCUUUCUUUCCUUUUUAAGUUACAUUCCUGUAAGAGUGUGCUUUGAAGUAGUUUCUGAAAGUCCUAAUUUAGAAUUUUUGAUUUAAUUUAAAAACUGCUUUAUGACUGAAACAAAUGUACUUUACUUUUUAAAAAUAUCUCUAUUUUUAUCUUUAAAAAAAUAUAUAAUCAAAUAGAAUGUAUUAUACACCCUUUAGGGGACAAACCAUAAUGCUGUUUUUAGGUUCUUCUGCUUCUCCUCUUGGUACAUUUACUAUUUGGAAUCUUUAUUCAUUAAUUUGAUCUAUUUCUCCAUCACCUAAAAUAGGCCACUGUUUUUUCUAGGUGUUGAGGAUACAGCAGCAAACAAAACAAAAUUCUGUAUCUUCCUGGAUCUUUCAUUCUAGAGAAGUACAGACAUAAAUUUAAAUAAACACAGAGAUAUCUUUUUGUGUAUGUAUCCAACUAACCAAUGGUCUUAAGUGUUGUGGAGGUAACGCAAGUAGACAGGUAACACUGAGCAGAUGUAGAGGGUAAUUUUAAAUAUUAUGAUCAGAGAAGAGCUCAGUGAGGUGAACAAGUCAUGUGGUUACCUGUGGAGACCAUCUCAGCCUGAGUAGGCAGCAAGUACAAAGACUACUGUGUCCAAAGGAAGGCAAGAAAGCACAUGUGACCAGAGUAGAGAGGGAUGGAGACAAGAAGAUAUCAGGUUGAAGAGUGAACUGGUAGCUAAUGGUGUUUUUACUCUGAGAUGGAAAAACAAUAGGAGAGUUGGCAUUUUUUUUUAAUGGGGUCUAUCUAUGUUGCUCAGGCUGGUUUUGAAGUCCUAGGCAUAAGUAAUCCUCCC
rnacentral:lncRNA from 1 species